rnacentral:rRNA from 1 species
CCUACGGGAGGCUGCAGUGGGGGAUAUUGCACAAUGGGCGCAAGCCUGAUGCAGCGACGCCGCGUGAGGGAUGAAGGCUUUCGGGUUGUAAACCUCUUUUACUAUCGAACAAGGUGCCAUAUUGGUGGUGUUGAGGGUAGGUGGUGAAUAAGCGCCGGCUAACUACGUGCCAGCAGCCGCGGUAAUACGUAGGGCGCGAGCGUUGUCCGGAAUUAUUGGGCGUAAAGAGCUCGUAGGCGGCUUGUCGCGUCUGCUGUGAAAUCCCAGGGCUUAACUCUGGGCGUGCAGUGGGUACGGGCAGGCUAGAGUGCGGUAGGGGUGAUUGGAAUUCCUGGUGUAGCGGUGGAAUGCGCAGAUAUCAGGAGGAACACCGAUGGCGAAGGCAGGUCUCUGGGCCGUUACUGACGCUGAGGAGCGAAAGCAUGGGGAGCGAACAGGAUUAGAUACCCGAGUAGUC